rnacentral:rRNA from 2 species
AACGAACUCUGGUAUUGAUUGGUGCUUGCAUCAUGAUUUACAUUUGAGUGAGUGGCGAACUGGUGAGUAACACGUGGGAAACCUGCCCAGAAGCGGGGGAUAACACCUGGAAACAGAUGCUAAUACCGCAUAACAACUUGGACCGCAUGGUCCGAGNUUGAAAGAUGGCUUCGGCUAUCACUUUUGGAUGGUCCCGCGGCGUAUUAGCUAGAUGGUGGGGUAACGGCUCACCAUGGCAAUGAUACGUAGCCGACCUGAGAGGGUAAUCGGCCACAUUGGGACUGAGACACGGCCCAAACUCCUACGGGAGGCAGCAGUAGGGAAUCUUCCACAAUGGACGAAAGUCUGAUGGAGCAACGCCGCNGUGAGUGAAGAAGGGUUUCGGCUCGUAAAACUCUGUUGUUAAAGAAGAACAUAUCUGAGAGUAACUGUUCAGGUAUUGACGGUAUU